GUAGGGCUGUGCGAUAUGUCUGAAAAACGAAUAGCAAUAUAAGUGUUUUAAAAUCAGCAGUUAUCAUUAGUUAUUGAUACAUAUUUUUGUUUUAAAUAUCUGAAAUACUGCCAAUCUGGUGAUGUGAGGUUUCCUAUUUUAUCCAGUUUCUUAAACUGCUGCUGCGCAUAUUACGCAACAGGUUGUUGCUAGGUAACCAGAGUGAGUUAGCUCAUGCCACCAAUCUAGUUUAGCUAGCGGUAAAAUAUAGAGCGCCCAAAGCGCUUGCUUUGUCUACAUCCCCCAGAAUGCUGUGCGGUUCUGGAUCGGAAACAUUUCUCCAAGUCUUGAGGAUCAUCAAUAAGCCCAUUGGUUCAUCGGCUAUACCUGCUCCAGGGUCACAAUGGAAUAGUGCCAAUCUCCAGCAAUCAUCAGGUACUUGGCCACGGAUGCCAUUGUUGCCCAAUUUCUCUAUUGCUAUUACAGUCAUGAACAGACCAUUUCUGAGGUAGGUGAGGCCUGCUGUGCUGUAGAUGUUGCUCUAGGUCAUAGUACUAACUCCUGGGAUGAGUUGUUGAUGCCCUCUUGGAGUAAUUUUGGUAGUUUAACCACUCUUGGGAAGGCUUUUGCAACAUUUUCUGCAAUGGUAGAUGCAGAUAACUUUGUUAUUCACUUUUUUGGUAUUUACUACAUCAGGGAAUGUUGCAAGUUUCAUGUUUCUUAGUGCAAAAAACCCCUAUAUUUAAUAAAGAAGAUGCAAUAUGGUACACUGAUGAAACUAAACAUUAACCAAGUGCCUCAAACCACAUUUUUAGAAGUUAUUGUUGAUGAGAAACUAACUUGGAAACAACAUACUAGUAUGUAGAAAUAUAGUAAAAUCAAUUAAUUAUAUACUUCUAAUACCACAUUAGAAGUAGAUAACUUUUAUUAUAAAAAUAUAAAAUUAACUGUAUGGAUAAG